rnacentral:rRNA from 1 species
CCCUUAGAUGUCCUGGGCCGCACGCGCGUUACACUGAUGCAUUCAACGAGCUUAUAACCUUGGCCGAGAGGCCUGGGCAAUCUUGUUAACGUGCAUCGUGAUAGGGAUAGAUUAUUGAAAUUAUUAAUCUUGAACGAGGAAUUCCUAGUAAACGCAGAUCAUCAAUCUGCAUUGAUUACGUCCCUGCCCUUUGUACACACCGCCCGUCGCACCUACCGAUUGGAUGGUGCGGUGAAGCCUCGGGAUUGUGGUUCUUGCCGCUUUAUUGUGGCGUGACCGCGAGAACUUGUCUAAACCUUAUCAUCUAGAGGAAGGUGAAGUCGUAACA